CCCCGCCUGGAGGGUUAUUAUCCUCUGGAAUUGGAGACGUCUGAGUGUAGAUUUAAUGGCCAAAGCUUUCAACAACGGAUCUCUUGGUUCUAGCGUCGAUGAAGAACGCAGCGAAAUGCGAUAAGUAAUGUGAAUUGCAGAAUUCAGCGAACGAUCGAAUCUUUGAACGCACAUUGCGCCCCUUGGUAUUCCGAGGGGCACGCCUGUUCGAGCGUCAUUGAGAACCUCAAGCCCGGCUUGGUAUUGGGUCCCAUCUCAAUCUGAUGGGCCUGGAACGUCUUGGUGGCUCAAGGCCCCCACCAGUGCAAAGGGAACGACAGUUCAUGCGCAGGUGGUGCCCUCUGCGCGCUCCAUCAAACGGGGUGAUGGCCCCCUAUGGUUUGACCUCGGAUCAGGUGG
rnacentral:rRNA from 1 species